UACAGAGGGGGCAAGCGUUGUUCGGAAUUACUGGGCGUAAAGGGCGCGUAGGCGGCCGCCUAAGUCAGACGUGAAAUCCCUCGGCUCAACCGGGGAACUGCGUCUGAUACUGGGUGGCUUGAAUCCGGGAGAGGGAUGCGGAAUUCCAGGUGUAGCGGUGAAAUGCGUAGAUAUCUGGAGGAAUACCGGUGGCGAAGGCGGCAUCCUGGACCGACAUUGACGCUGAACGGCGAAAGCUAGGGGAGCAAACGGG
rnacentral:rRNA from 1 species